GUCGCCUCCUAAAAGGUAACGGAGGCGCUCAAAGGUUCCCUCAGAAUGGUUGGAAAUCAUUCAUAGAGUGUAAAGGCAUAAGGGAGCUUGACUGCGAGACCUACAAGUCGAGCAGGGUCGAAAGACGGACUUAGUGAUCCGGUGGUUCCGCAUGGAAGGGCCAUCGCUCAACGGAUAAAAGCUACCCCGGGGAUAACAGGCUUAUCUCCCCCAAGAGUUCACAUCGACGGGGAGGUUUGGCACCUCGAUGUCGGCUCAUCGCAUCCUGGGGCUGUAGUCGGUCCCAAGGGUUGGGCUGUUCGCCCAUUAAAGCGGUACGCGAGCUGGGUUCAGAACGUCGUGAGACAGUUCGGUCCCUAUCCGUCGUGGGCGUAGGAAAUUUGAGAGGAGCUGUCCUUAGUACGAGAGGACCGGGAUGGACAUACCUCUGGUGUACCAGUUGUCGUGCCAACGGCAUAGCUGGGUAGCUAUGUGUGGACGGGAUAAGUG
rnacentral:rRNA from 1 species